AAAAAACCUAACUCCUAACACUCAUCACUCUCGUCCCUCUCUUGCCUCACAUGAACCCUAACCCUAACGCUCUCACGAACCCGCGCUCUUCGCCUCAACACGAACCUAGCGCUCUUCGCCUCAACACGAACCCUAGCACUCUCUGCCUCUACACGGAACCGAUUUGAAGGUAAUUAACCUGUUGUGCAUUCCUUAUACUUAUGGUAGUUUGUCAUUGUUAAAUCUAGUUUUUCAUAUGCUGCUUUGUCCUUUACAUUUUAGGUUUUAUGCAAUGAACCCUAACACUUUCUUCCUCCACACGAAACCGCGCUCUCUGCCUCCACAUGAACCCGCGCAUCANN
rnacentral:lncRNA from 1 species